rnacentral:rRNA from 1 species
AUGCACGCUGGCGGCGUGCCUAAUACAUGCAAGUCGAGCGAACAGACGAGGAGCUUGCUCCUCUGACGUUAGCGGCGGACGGGUGAGUAACACGUGGAUAACCUACCUAUAAGACUGGGAUAACUUCGGGAAACCGGAGCUAAUACCGGAUAAUAUAUUGAACCGCAUGGUUCAAUAGUGAAAGACGGUUUUGCUGUCACUUAUAGAUGGAUCCGCGCCGCAUUAGCUAGUUGGUAAGGUAACGGCUUACCAAGGCAACGAUGCGUAGCCGACCUGAGAGGGUGAUCAGCCACACUGGAACUGAGACACGGUCCAGACUCCUACGGGAGGCAGCAGUAGGGAAUCUUCCGCAAUGGGCGAAAGCCUGACGGAGCAACGCCGCGUGAGUGAUGAAGGUCUUCGGAUCGUAAAACUCUGUUAUUAGGGAAGAACAAAUGUGUAAGUAACUAUGCACGUCUUGACGGUACCUAAUCAGAAAGCCACGGCUAACUACGUG